rnacentral:lncRNA from 1 species
CAUCAUUUUCUCAUUUUAUCAUUUUAUCAUUUUAUCAUUUCCUCAUUUUAUCAUUUCAUUAUUUUAUUGGUUCAUGUUUUAUCAGCUCUAGAAAGUCCUAUUUUAUUGGCUAUUCCAUUGUGUGUGCAUUUGCACAUCUGUGUUUGUCAGCAAUGGACGCAACCACCACAACAAGUAUAUCUGAACACAUUAUUCAUUCAUUAGAAGGAGUGUCCACAAUCAUUUGGACGUAUAGUGUAUGUAUGUACAGUAUAUAUUGCAUGCUGGAUUGAUAUGUUCUGUAUCAUUUUAUUUAUUCAUUUUAAUUUUGGUUCUGGUUCUGUUUGUGAACCCAAGGGAAGCAGAGGAGUCCCCGGACACAACGGAAAGACCGGACCCAAAGGCCAACGAGGCCGAGCAGGUCAGCACGGACCUCCUGGUAUUCAUGGACUGCUGGGUUUGAGAGGCCCACCAGGAGAAGAGGGAGCAGAAGGAAAGCCUGGUACACAGGUUCCCAUUUCAUAAGUUAUCUCCACAUUUGAAUAUUGUUACAGCCACAUGCUCUUUACUACAUAC